rnacentral:piRNA from 1 species
UUCAUCGUCACCACCGGCCUGGUAUUAGGAU